GACGAACGCUGGCGGCGUGCUUAACACAUGCAAGUCGAACGGAAAGGCCCUGCUUUUGUGGGGUGCUCGAGUGGCGAACGGGUGAGUAACACGUGAGUAACCUGCCCUUGACUUUGGGAUAACUUCAGGAAACUGGGGCAAAUACCGGAUAGGAGCUCCUGCUGCAUGGUGGGGGUUGGAAAGUUUCGGCGGUUGGGGAUGGACUCGCGGCUUAUCAGCUUGUUGGUGGGGUAGUGGCUUACCAAGGCUUUGACGGGUAGCCGGCCUGAGAGGGUGACCGGCGACAUUGGGACUGAGAUACGGCCCAGACUCCUACGGGAGGCAGCAGUGGGGAAUAUUGCACAAUGGGCGGAAGCCUGAUGCAGCAACGCCGCGUGCGGGAUGACGGCCUUCGGGUUGUAAACCGCUUUCGCCUGUGACGAAGCGUGAGUGACGGUAAUGGGUAAAGAAGCACCGGCUAACUACGUG
rnacentral:rRNA from 1 species